GUGUUUGCAUAUGUGUGCUGCCUCUCUGCUUCCAGCAGUUAAAGCUCAGUGUUGAUCAGUGGCCGUCCAGACCUUUCAGAGACACUGACUCGCCCGCAGCACAAUGAUGAUGUCACUGACUCUGCUGCUCUUCACCCUGGAGCUCCUCGUUCAGGCUUCGUCAGAAAAGCUCCUCACUCAGACUCCUGGAGCUCAGUCUGUAGUUCAAGGACAGACUGUCUCCAUCAGAUGUAAAGCCAGUUCAAGUGUUGGCACCUGCCUUAACUGGUACCUUCAGAAAAACGGAGAAUCCCCAAAACUCUUGAUUUAUUAUGCUACAAACCGUCAGUCUGGUGUUUCAAGUCACUUCAGUGGAAGUGGAUCUGGAACUGACUUUACUCUGACAGUCAGUGGAAUUGAACCUGAACAUGCAGGAGUUUAUUACUGUCAGCAGUGUAACAGCCUUCCGUUCACACAGUGAAAAACAAUCGUACAAAAACCUCCUUCAGUCAAACUAAACUGAAACUGAACUG